rnacentral:rRNA from 1 species
CACGUAGGGCGCAAGCGUUGUCCGGAAUUAUUGGGCGUAAAGAGCUCGUAGGCGGUCUGUUGCGUCCGCUGUGAAAACUCGGGGCUUAACCCCGAGCCUGCAGUGGAUACGGGCAGACUAGAGGUAGGUGGGGGAGAAUGGAAUUCCCGGUGUAGCGGUGAAAUGCGCAGAUAUCAGGAGGAACACCAAUGGCGAAGGCAGCUCGCUGGGACGGUACUGACGCUGAGACGCGAAAGCGUGGGGAGCAAACAGG